rnacentral:rRNA from 1 species
UACGUGAGGGGCGAACGUUGUUCGGUGUCACUGGGCUUAAAGGGUGCGUAGGCGGGUCUUUAAGUCAGGGGUGAAAUCCUGGAGCUCAACUCCAGAACUGCCUUUGAUACUGAAGAUCUUGAGUUCGGGAGAGGUGAGUGGAACUGCGAGUGUAGAGGUGAAAUUCGUAGAUAUUCGCAAGAACACCAGUGGCGAAGGCGGCUCACUGGCCCGAUACUGACGCUGAGGCACGAAAGCGUGGGGAGCAAACAGG